GUGGGAGUUGAAGGGCAGGCAGAGCUGGCUUGGCCUAAGAACUGGGCCUGGGGAUUAGGGCAUUCAAUUGACAGAAGCCCCUAGCACAGAUGAGCUGGGCAGGGGAGUGGGGGGAGGUGGUGCAGGGACCCACCGAAGGCUGUGUAUGCAUGCAUGUCGCCUUCCCUGGAGAAGAGGUUCAGAGAUUUGCUGUGGUUCUCAAAGACAGCCAUGACCCCGAGAAGACAAGAAAUCCUCAUUUGGGGGACAUCUCUGUAUGCUAGACACUGAAGUUUCUAUGGACCUUGACCUUGAGCACUGCAGCUAGCCAGCCCUGGAUUCAGGCUCAGCCUCAGCUUCCUUUUUGGGAAAAACACACCUGGAUUAGAUACUCUCCAGGCUUUUAAGACUGCCUGACUUAGGUGGUCCUGCUCAUGGAGAUGGUUCACAGAUACACGCUGCAUCCACCCAGCUCCUGGGAUAGGGCUGGCCACCAAAAGCUUCAUAAUGGAACUUCAGUGCCCUUUCAGGCCUUUGGAGUGGCUUUUUUUUUUUUUUUGUAGCAUUUUAAUGUCAAGUCCCUGGCUUUUAUUUAAGGUCAACUGUCUGACUGUAAGUCGCUCAGCUUUCCUGCGUCUCGGGGUUCUAUUUGCUUUCUAGGUUGGGCACACUGAUGCUUCUGAAGGGUCAGGGGUAGGUAUAUAAGCACUGCCCACAGGCUGCGCUGACCCAGGAAAACAGGCAGCCCCCAGCUCUGUAGGGCCAGGCCCAGAGCCCACAGGCAGAAGCAGGCCUGAGCAUGGAUGCCCGGGGGGCUGCCCAAAUGGGGAGCCAGGUUGCCUGUCCUCUGUUUUGGCAGGUACUACGUGGGGGACACCGUGGAUGUCCUGUUUGAGAAGUGGUUCUACUGCAAGGAUCUCGGCACCCAGUUGGCCCCCAUCAUCCAAGAGUGAGCCCUCAGCCCCUCGCUGUCCUGGGGCUGCACAUCAGCAUCUGCUGGCCUGGUGCCACCAUGCCUGGGAAUUAGGGAGAAAGUCUCCCCUCCUGCGGGAGGUUGGGGAUGGAGGGAGCCACUGGAGAGACUGCUCCACAGAGCUGGGAGGGAAAGUGUGUGAGGGCUCCACAAGUGUGUGUGGGCUCCUGCACCCAACAGUGUAUGGCGUGUGUGUCUCCCCGGCUACUCAAGCAGGAAUGCCCGCCAUUCCUUUCUCCUCCCUGUUGUCCCUGCAGGUUCUUCCGCUCCGAGCAGUGCAGAACAGGAAAACCCAUCCCUGACCAACUGCUCAAGGAACCACCAUUUCCUCUGAGUACACGAUCUAUCAUGGAGCCCGUGUCCCUGAAGGCUUGGCUGGAUGGCCACCGCAGGGAGCUGCAGGCAGGCAGAGCUGGCUUGGCCUAAGAACUGGGCCUGGGGAUUAGGGCAUUCAAUUGACAGAAGCCCCUAGCACAGAUGAGCUGGGCAGGGGAGUGGGGGGAGGUGGUGCAGGGACCCACCGAAGGCUGUGUAUGCAUGCAUGUCGCCUUCCCUGGAGAAGAGGUUCAGAGAUUUGCUGUGGUUCUCAAAGACAGCCAUGACCCCGAGAAGACAAGAAAUCCUCAUUUGGGGGACAUCUCUGUAUGCUAGACACUGAAGUUUCUAUGGACCUUGACCUUGAGCACUGCAGCUAGCCAGCCCUGGAUUCAGGCUCAGCCUCAGCUUCCUUUUUGGGAAAAACACACC
rnacentral:lncRNA from 1 species